rnacentral:rRNA from 1 species
GUGGGGAAUUUUGGACAAUGGGCGAAAGCCUGAUCCAGCAAUGCCGCGUGCAGGAAGAAGGCCUUCGGGUUGUAAACUGCUUUUGUACGGAACGAAACGGUCCGGGUUAAUACCCUGGGCUAAUGACGGUACCGUAAGAAUAAGCACCGGCUAACUACGUGCCAGCAGCCGCGGUAAUACGUAGGGUGCAAGCGUUAAUCGGAAUUACUGGGCGUAAAGCGUGCGCAGGCGGUUUUGUAAGACAGGCGUGAAAUCCCCGGGCUCAACCUGGGAAUUGCGCUUGUGACUGCAAGGCUGGAGUGCGGCAGAGGGGGAUGGAAUUCCGCGUGUAGCAGUGAAAUGCGUAGAGAUGCGGAGGAACACCGAUGGCGAAGGCAGCCUCCUGGGAUAACACUGACGCUCAGGCACGAAAGCGUGGGGAGCAAACAGGAUUAGAAACCCCUGUAGUCC